UACGUAGGGUGCAAGCGUUGUCCGGAAUUAUUGGGCGUAAAGAGCUUGUAGGCGGCUUGUCGCGUCUGCUGUGAAAAUCCGGGGCUCAACCCCGGACUUGCAGUGGGUACGGGCAGACUAGAGUGUGGUAGGGGAGACUGGAAUUCCUGGUGUAGCGGUGAAAUGCGCAGAUAUCAGGAGGAACACCGAUGGCGAAGGCAGGUCUCUGGGCCACUACUGACGCUGAGAAGCGAAAGCAUGGGGAGCGAACAGG
rnacentral:rRNA from 1 species